rnacentral:misc_RNA from 1 species
UAUAUAUAUAUAUAUAUAUAUACUGUAAGAGAAAGAGAAAGAAUGGAAAGUUAGCUACCACACUUGCAACUUGGGGUAGAAUUCUGUGGAAGCUUUGUAGAGAUAAGGGUCUGGGUUCCCAUCUUGCUUGGUGCCAUUGUUGAACAAAGUAAUGCCUCGUUGAUUGCAACAAAGUAAUGAUUCCUCGUUGAUCGCAAGUGGUCUGAAAAUUUCGAUUUAAAUUAGGGGUAUAUUUGUCUUUUUGUUGAGAGGCGAACUAUUUGGAAUAUUGCUAAAACACCACCGUAGAUUCUGGUUAUCGGAUAGAUAAAUCACAACCGUUGAAUGUAUAGACUGAUUGAUAAAUUAAACGCUGUCGUUCCUCCGCAUUUUCCACUGGCGUUUGUUGACCUCCUUGCCCGUGUUUUGAGAAGAAACGGAGGAUAAUUUAGUAAUUUGAAAAACUAGGGUUUUUCAGAUAACUACAAAGCCCCGCUUCACUUUCGCUUCUCUUUCUCGGAAACCCUAGCGUCUACGUGGAGGUUUGGACUCGCGAAGCGGAGAGAAGCUUAGAAUCCUUUCUCGGCAAAAAUGGGUAUCUCUUAGAUGUCUCUGAUACUUUUCUUGAUACGAUAUGCUUUCAACUUUGACAGUGACAUUUUAGUCAUGUUAAUGACUAAAUGUGUAUGGAUUGAUAGGGAUUUCUCGUGAUUCGAUGCACAAGAGGCGUGCCACUGGUGGCAAGAAGAAGGCAUGGAGGAAGAAGAGAAAGUAUGAG